rnacentral:piRNA from 1 species
UGAGUGCUUAUAAUGUCCAGGUACUGUU